rnacentral:lncRNA from 1 species
UUUUUUGUCCAGCACUAAUGGUUUUGAAGUUUUUGUGUGCAUAUUAUUUGACAAUGUUUUCUCAUCAACUUGCAGCAGUGCACCAGAUGCUCUUUAUGGUCAUGUCCAAAGAUUGUGUAGCGCUCCGUAGUGGUGCAAGAUGGAGAACUUGGCCAAAAGGUGUUACCACCACCUUGGGUGCCAUUCGAGUGUGAAUCUUAAUGCAUAGAUGCAGGUAUACCGGGUGUGGGUGCCUAUCGCGGUGCCUGCGCCUGUUGCAUUAGCAUAGCAUACUCACACCCAAAUGAUGGGUGAAGGUCUCCAUCUUGCGCCGCUGCGUGGUGCUAUACAGCCUUUGGUCAUACCCUGCCUGAAUAAUUCUUUCUUCCAACACAUGCAUUGAUCUCGUAGAUACCUCUGAUGAUAUGCCAGUUUCGAAUUUGUUGUUCCCCGACCAGCAACGCUGGCAUGGGUAUUACCAUGCCCAUCCCUGGCUACACACAGCCGUGGCAGCAGUUUGUUACCCAGGAUUUGCACGAUCACCUUGUCUUUAAAUUAGUUCAAGCAGUAUUUCCAUCACCUGACCCAAAGCCAUGAAGGACAAGGGAAUGGGAAAAGUAGUAGCCUCUGCCCAAAGAAUGGGAAAGGACAUGUAUGAGCGAGCCAGCAGUAGGGAGGAGUACUAUCACCUCUUGGCUGAGAAGAUCUACAAGAUCCAGAAGGAGCUGCAGGAGACAGCAGGCACUGACGCAGGAGACAGGACGUACUGACGCAGGAAACAGCAGGCACUGUGACGCAUGAGACACCAGCCACUGAUGCUGCUGUUGGUGGCAUCUCCAUGAUGGCAGCAGAGCUGCUGCCCCAGCCACAGCCUCCCCACUAACUGCCUAGACCAGUAUGUCCACUGGGAAAAUGUAGCUCUUUCAACCAACUUAUUUCAGAAUUAUGCUGUACAUAACUAUAUGUUCUCGAAGGUUUAUUUUGGCAUCGGUGUUGCUUUGGCUCAGCAGUGAAAAGUGGACUGGUAGAAUGGGGCGUCAGGUUGGCAUAGUGACACUCUUAUGUUGUGAAUGUGAGUUUUAUGUUUUGAAACAAAUUCCAUAUCUCGGUAUGUGGUACGAAGAUGUCAGCUGUACUCAUGUUCAGUAAAUGUAACUAACUCAAGCUUAAAAUUGUAUUUCUAAAAAGAGCUUCACUCAUUAGGUGCUUCUGGAAAAUUUGAAUCUCUUUUUUCUGAACACAACUGUCCUUGCUUAUUGUCUUUAUCAGGACUUGAACAAAGCUUUUGCCGCAAAUAGAUUAGAUUGCUACUUUGAUAGACAAACUAACAGAUAUUUACAUGUCUGUACAUAGGGUCUGCUGCUCACCUAAGAGAAAACAAAUGAAAUGGGAAGGGGGAGGUUCAACAGCAACUCUUAAACUUGAAGGUCCCUUUUCCUUGAAUGUCUGUAUUUAAACAAGAUAUGUUCUUGUUUUAUUUUUCUAAAUCCACUUUGUAUGUAACCGUGAUCUGACCAUCUGUAUACACAGGUAGGCCUACAAGCUAAUGGUUUCAAACCUCAAGCAUACCUCGACUCGAUCAACUCGACUGACAUUUAAACCUGUCAGUGCUCUGUUUGCACACACAAAGUCUGAGAAGUCUGGGGAGGCACACUGUGCGUUGAAUUUGAACUUUGAGGCCAUUUGAGGCCAUUCAUAUAUGGCCCUGUUGUAGUAUAUGGGCAUGCCCCACAUUGUUGAAGAGUAUGAGGUUUUUGUAAGAAACGUGGUACAAAUACUCUUCAAAUGACUGGUGUAAAUCAGCAUUUUUGGUAUUUGUCUGUGUUAGUGGCCAUAUCUUACCUUUUUCAAGAGCUGAAAUUUUUGGCCAAAUAUACCCACCUUCAAGUGGACAAAAGGAAAGGUGUGGAAAAUUUUAGAAGUAAAUUGCUAUUCAGGUUUCUUCAUUUCCACUUGCUUGAUUUUUUUCACAAACAGAAGAUUCACCAUUCGAUUUGCCAUACUUGGUCUUGAAAGUCACAGAUUUGAGUCUUAAGAUGGCAACAACUUGCAAUAGAAGAAUAAAAUAGAAAGUUUAAGGCUGUAGUACUGAACAGGUCCAGUCUCCCUCAGGAAACUUUUAAGUGCCUUUGGUUUAUGCAUUUUGUAUUCCAAAAUGGUCCAUCAAUUCAAUAUGGGCUUGUUUAUGUGUCAGGCUUGGGUAAAAUAAAUACAAGCCCUUUGCCUUUUAGAUUUUGGAGAAAUAUGAAUUAGAGAGUACAGAUUUGAUAUUGUGUAACCUGUUCAACUUCACUCAAUGUUAAUACAUUUGAGACAAAUCUAGGGAUUUUGUAUGCAAAAAAUGAUUUUGAAUUCUAGAUGAGUAUUCCAUGUACUUUUUGUAACUCCUGUAAUCAGUGUAAUAGUUGGAGGAUUUUAAUUGAAUGAAAUAAAAUAUGUGG